CCAAGUUAUCCACCCCCACCAUGACUCUCAUUUAUUUUUCCAUUCUUCCUCACACACGCUAAGCAUCAUCCGAUCUAAUAUCCGCUAUCUAGUUGUUCUUUUCGGUAAUCAAUGUGUGUGUGUGGAAUUCCCCUACUCAUACUUAUAUUUGUGGAGAUUCUUUUCAAUUUAAGCUUCUUAUAUCUACCAUAGAACAGAAACUACCACCCACAAUUCAUUCGGAUGAAUUAUACAAUAUGAAGUUGAGCAUCCUUAUCGUUAUGUUAUCUGUGGCACAAAUAGUAAAGUCAAAUGUCAAACCAGAUGCAGUAAACAACAACCACUGUCUCAAUUAAAUGUUUAUUUAUCAUUAUUUGAAAGUAAAUCCCGCUACAACUUCUACCAUUCUCAGCUAUCUCAAACCAACAUCCAUCUAUGCCCAGCAUCCUCCAUCACACCAACUAUAAAAAAAACGGCAAAAUAGUUCGUAUUGUUCUUGUUUUUCCUUCUACAGGCAGUCGCAGGUUGCCGCACACGUAACAAAAUUCGCUAUUUUGUUGGAUACAUUCCAACAAAAGAGUGAAAAAUAUAAUUACUUCUGGAAACCUGCAUUAACUUACUGACAAAAUAAGUGACCUAUCUAGUGGGGAGCAACCCACACUUAAAGCCGGGCCAAAUUGGAAGUCUCAUAGGGUCUUCUUACCGCCCUGAAGAUGUUCCUACGUGCGAUCGUUGUAGGGCCUAUGUAAUUGAUCUUACGCUACCUUUUCAGAGAAAUUGAUAGAAGACUAGGAAUAAAUAAGGAUGCCCUAUGCAGUCAAUAUCACUUUUGGCUAAUCAUAAUCGAAGAUUUAAAUAAAGUUAUAUGUUGGUUAUAAAAGCAAAGGAAAAUAAAGUUACAAAUCUAAUAAAGAUCUGGUUUUGGUACGAGUGAAUAUCGAAUUCAUUGUUGGUAAGGUGGGUUUGUUGGAUAGAAGUGGCAUGCAUCGGAUACUGAUUAAGGGUUUUUGUACCAAAGUACCACUUAACCAAUUUCAUUUUAACGACCAGAUUGCUGGGCUUUCAAAUAAUGGAAAGAUUACACCGACUUUAGACUUUAUUAUUACUAGGGAUUUAGAUCGGAUGAGUCCUCGAAUGUGCGAGGAGGAUCCAGUUUAAAAGGAGUUCUAAGGAAACUACGUAAGCUGGCUUAUAAGUGCAUGUUUGGUUAUAACUCGUGAAGUUCCUCUGAUUCAAAAGUUCAAUUUGGUCUUGUUGGUGAAUAAAAAGAAUGCGGAUUCAAAUAACCCAAAAAUCUAAUGACGAAAAUCGGGGAGUAAGUGGGAAACAGGGAACCUCUAAGGCUUUACUUCAUACAUUUGAACUGUUUAGGUUCUUCAAAAGGGAAGCAAUUUAACUAACGAAACAAAUACAAAAUAAGUACGUGGCGAUAUGCAUAUGGAACUAAGAUUUUGAGGUGGUUAUGCAACAAGAAAAAAAAUAUGAAAAAUUAACUGAAUGAAACGUAAUGCAUUAAAAGCAAUUUGAUUUAUGACGAAAAAAAAAUAAAUACAACAAUAAACCUAGACAGUAAAAUCUGUCUUGCAAAAAAAAUUAUUAUUUACCUUAUAUUUAUUUAUAUCUAAUUAAACCGUUUUUUUUUUUUCAAACAAAAAUUUAUAAAGAUUAAGUAAACCAAAAAGUUGGUUUAGCGUAGUAAAUACCAUAUUUAUUCUAAUAUAGACUAAGGAUUAACCAAAAAAAAUUAACAAAUCUUAUAAAAUUUAAUCUGAGCCAAUUUUAUUAUAGAGCUAAAUCAUAAAGAAAGGAAGCAAAUUUGGAUAAAGUUCAAUAGAAAAAACUUUAGUCCGCAAAGCUGGUUUGGUCUAGAACUAAUUUGUAAACAAAAAACAUACCUAAAUAACAAAAAAAAUAAAAAAUAUCGAAAAAUAAUAAAUCUUUAACUGUAAAAAAAAGUAACAACUGAAUAGCUAUAAUGAGCAUACAACAACAAAUGUAGUUACCCUUUUUUAAUAGACCCAACAAAAAACAAAUAAUGAAACAAAAAAAUCGAAUUUAAAUAAUAUGGAAAAAAAUUCGUCAAUUUCGAAUACGUAUAUAAACCACGAGAUUCAAAAAAAUAACAGAAAACUGUAUAU